rnacentral:rRNA from 1 species
UACGGAGGGAGCAAGCGUUGCUCGGAAUGACUGGGCGUAAAGGGUGCGUAGGCGGCUAUUUAAGUGAAUUGUUAAAAACUCAGGCUCAACCUGAGGAAUGCUUUUCAUACUGGGUAGCUUGAGAAUGGUAGAGGAAGCUGGAAUUCCUCAUGUAGGGGUUAAAUCCGUAGAUAUGAGGAGGAACACCAGAGGCGAAGGCGAGUUUCUGGAUCAUUUCUGACGCUGAGGCACGAAAGCGUGGGUAGCAAACAGG